UAUAUAUUUAUAUUAGCAAAUUAUGUUAAAAAAAAUUAAAGCACCUACAACCUUAAAAUCUUGAGUCUGCCACUGAAUCAAGGUGAACAGAGGUGGUGGUAACACAAGUUUUGGGGAGGGAGAGGCUUUUGCAAAUGGUGGGGUUCCAGAGAAUGAUAGUAUCCCUAUAACCAAAAAGAUCACCGAAGAGGCAAAAUAGACCAUAACAGCAACCAACAACCCUAAAGUGGUUUCUGGUAGUGGUGUUGAAAGGAAAUUUGACUUCUCUAAAGAGGACUGGAUUUUCAGCUUGGGUUGGAGGGUCAAGGUAGAUAGAGUAGCAUUCUUGUUUUCUCGAUUUGGUCUUGAUGGAGAUGUGGCGUAAGAUGUGAAGAGGAAUGGAGGAGAGGGAAUUAGAUAGGAAAUCGGGGAAGAUAUGAGGGAAUACCAUUGCUUUGAGACACACCGAAAUCAUAAAAGAUCUUCAAGAGGCAACCCCCUAAGGAUUUUUGUUAGCAAGCAAUCAGGGAAAUUCUGUUACCAACAAAUAACAAUCUGAUGACAAGCUUCCAAUGGUAGCAGUGAAGGUCAACUGCCUGAAGCUUCAUGACAUAAAAGCAACUUAUCGGCAAAACUUUUGGUGAGUUCAAAGACGGCAGAGACUGUUUCAAGUGAGAAGCUGUAGAUACAAUUGUGGAUAGAGAGAUUAGUGGCUGAUGGUAUUUACGUAUGGAUUCUGUUGUUGAGGUGAGCCUUUGCAUUAUCGUGGAGCUGUCAUCCAACUUUAGUUAUUUUUAGAUUAUAUUCCUGUUCGUUGGGUUUGUAUUCCCUAAAGUUAAACUCAUGUAACUUUGUUUAGAUGCUCUAUGGUCUUGGUAGGAUUUGAGGCUAGAGAGAUAUUAUAUAAGUAAUGUGGUUUUCAUAAACCGUAUUAUGAUAACUUGAUGGAUAAUUACUUUGAAUUUAAUAAUCAUUUCAUGCAUUUGAAGUUGCACAUGUUUUUAUCUCAGCGUUUGUAG